GGAAUGGAUAAAUUAUAAUUAUGGGUGGUUUUAGGAAUUAUUGAUUAGCGACAGCGAUGGCCACAUACCGAAACCCUUGAGGUCAAAUCCCCGCCAAUUUGCUCUGUAAUAUGUGUGGAAACACGUUGAUGCAUGUGCUCUCUUCUCUCUCUUGUCCCCACUCACAGACACCCACCUAGACUUUUCUAAGAUUGAAGUUUAUGGAGUUAAUUUGUGGAAGUGAAAUAUUUUAAUUUUAAAAUAAGAGUUAACUAUUAUCACAUUUUCUAUAAAAA